rnacentral:misc_RNA from 1 species
GAUGAAGAACGGAGCGAAAUGCGAUAAGUAGUGUGAAUUGCAGAAUUCAGUGAAUCAUCGAAUCUUUGAACGCACAUUGCGCCCUUUGGUAUUCCUUAGGGCAUGCCUGUUCGAGCGUCAUUUAAACCUUCAAGCUCAGCUUGGUGUUGGGUGACUGUCCGCUUCACCGCGGACUCGCCUCAAAAUUAUUGGCGGCCGGUACAUUGGCUUCGAGCGCAGCAGAAACGCGAACUCGGGCCCGUCGUAUUGGCUCCCAGAAGCUAUCUUCACAAUUUUGACCUCGGAUCAGGUAGGGAUACCCGCUGAACUUAAGCAUAUCAAUAAGCGGAGGA